UCCCUGGUGGCUCAGAGGUUAAAGCGUCUGUCUCCAAUGCGGGAAACCCAGGAAACCCGGGUUCGAUUCCUGGGUCGGGAA
rnacentral:tRNA from 1 species